rnacentral:rRNA from 1 species
UACGAAGGGGGCUAGCGUUGCUCGGAAUCACUGGGCGUAAAGGGUGCGUAGGCGGGUCUUUAAGUCAGGGGUGAAAUCCUGGAGCUCAACUCCAGAACUGCCUUUGAUACUGGAGAUCUUGAGUCCGGGAGAGGUGAGUGGAAUUGCGAGUGUAGAGGUGAAAUUCGUAGAUAUUCGCAAGAACACCAGUGGCGAAGGCGGCUCACUGGCCCGGAACUGACGCUGAGACGCGAAAGCGUGGGGAGCAAACAGG